rnacentral:rRNA from 1 species
GGGGCUGCACGCGCGCUACACUGACUGGCUCAGCGUGUGCCUACCCUACGCCGGCAGGCGCGGGUAACCCGUUGAACCCCAUUCGUGAUGGGGAUCGGGGAUUGCAAUUAUUCCCCAUGAACGAGGAAUUCCCAGUAAGUGCGGGUCAUAAGCUUGCGUUGAUUAAGUCCCUGCCCUUUGUACACACCGCCCGUCGCUCCUAC